GAAUUUCUACGGCGGGAAUGCGUCGGGACUGAGCCCGAGUCUCCCGAGGCUGACUCGUGCCCCCGCCCCGCCCCGUUCAUCUGCGUGUCUGAAAACGUCGCGUUUGAACCACCCACGGCCAGGGCACCUGAGGCGGUUGUUCAAAAAUGUAGCUCCCCGGGCCCCGCCCCGGCGUGCCUCCCGAAGUCCCAGGCUCUUCUCCGGUUGCAGUCUGAAAAUAGCACACGGCGAGGCGCAAGGGGGACCCGAAAGGGGCUCUGUCCUGCAGGAAGUCUAAUUCCCGAGCCUUUGGUGGUAUUGGGACCUGGGCCAGAGGAGGUGACCUCAGCCAGACAGCACCCCGGGAUUGUGCUCGUUGAUACCAGAGGCUUACAGAGCAGAGACACAGCGACCGUCAUCUCCUGGGCGCACUGAGUCACAGCCCAGCAGGUUGACUGCGUUACUAAGUGUGAGCUAACCUGCUAUGUGGAGCAAACUCUGCGCCCAUGUAAUUACAUACUCCAGUCAGCGGCUGGGUUUGUUCAUACGUUCUUGCUCAGAAUCUUUGCUCCAAGAAAAAGGGAGAAAUGAUAAAUCGGAACCACACUUUGGUUUCUCCACUUGAACACCAUUUCGUGCGCUAGUUGGGAAAAGAAUAAAGAUUGAAGAAGUCCUACGGUGAUGCGAAUUGAAGGAAAUUUGGAUCCUGUUUUUGUAAGGUCGCUUUUCUUUCAAAGACGCUACUACGCUGCCCCUGUAGAAAUAGCCAAAAGAAGAAGGGACCAUAUGUAUGGAUGGGGCUGGUACGAUCCAUGCUUCAACAGCAGUCCCUUCAACCUUGCUUGAAUGUGGAGGUUCGAUAGACCACCAGACUCCAGGGAUAAACUACCUUGGCUUGAAAGGAACGCUAUCAUCACUGAUAGCUGACCACUAUGUUGUUCGCCAGCAUAUGAAAGCUACGCUGAAUUGUUUAACAACGUUGUGUUUCAACUGAUGAGUAGAAAACUUCACUGAACCAUGCACAAUAAUGGAGAUUGGACUGAUGGUUCGCAAAGACGAAAGAGAUGGACAGCACAGAGAUGCCAAUAAUUUUAAAUAUAAUCUUAAAAAAAACUUCAUUCUUAAAGUGAGUGAGAACAGUAUACAUAAGGAAGAGGCAACUGCCCUGGUCAUUGUCACACCCAGAUGUGAUGACGGGACCUGCCGCGGGCAUCUUGCAAGCAGACAGGAGCCAGCUUGCAGACAAGACCAACACAGCAAGAUGACACGGCCGAAUGUGGACCUGAGUCCUUCACGAUACUGUGGAGCUGAUCAAGUAACCCAGGAGUGUGCUUACCGUGGGCUUCCUGGCGUCUAAGGUGCUGACACUAUAGAAAGCGGAAAGGAAGCCCAACAGGGACUCAACAUAGACAACGAUAUUAUUGAAAACAGAGCAACUACUGGAAGAAGGAAUUCUCAGUCAACAACAGAGAAAACAUGAAACAGAAGUUCAACUCAACGCUUAAUUCACAUUGUUAAAAACAAGACAGCAGGACCAAAAUGGAGUCACUCACGGUAAGCCCAUGUCAUCACACCAAGACUUAAUUACAGUUUUGAUCUCUCCGAGAAAUGGAAUCUUAAACCAAUGAAUCACUAAUCACCUGAUCAGCACUAGUGAAGAAGUUUGCCUGAGAGACUCCUAUGAUCCCCUAAAGAAAAGUGACUGUGCCCCAGCCAGUCCACUUCCUGCUAGUAUAACUUUCUUGUUACUGCUCCCUUCCGGCUAUAAAAGUCUUUUAUUUUGUACAGCCUCUCACAGCUCUUUUCUGUCUGCUAAACAGGAUGCUGCCCAUUUCGUGAAUCACUGAAUAA